CAUUGCAGAGCAGCGGCGCGUUAAUUACUCUAUGCCAACGCGGCGAAGUAGUGACGAAAAAUAGGACUGGGUAGCGCUUUGCGUUAUCUUUGUCCAAUGAGAGCAAUGUAAAAGCCUCAUCGAGGAUCCAUUGGAGGGCAAGUCUGGUGCCAGCAGCCGCGGUAAUUCCAGCUCCAAUAGCGUACACUAAAGUUGUUGCAAUUAAAAAGCUCGUAAUCUAAUGUAUGGGAGUUGCGGUGUGGGUGUUUGGUUGGUUUUGCCGACUAGACAAUACUCGCUCCGCUUCCCGCUUGUUUUGCUCUCUUUUCUAGAAGGCAAAUGUUUCACUGUAAGUAAAACAACUCGCUCAACAGCAAGGUUAUCUUGAUAUGAAUUAGUAUGGGAUGAUGAGAUAGGCUCGGUCCGUAUUUUGUUGGUUUUAGUGGUCUGAGAAUGAUGAAGAGGGACAAUUGGGGGUAUUCGUAUUUACAUGUCAGAGGUGGAAUUCUUGGAUUUUGGAAAGACGAACUAAUGCGAAAGCAUCUACCAAAGAUGUUUUCAUUGAUCAAGAACGAAAGUUUGGGGAUCGAAGAUGAUUAGAU
rnacentral:rRNA from 1 species